rnacentral:lncRNA from 1 species
UACCGGAGUAAAAAAAAUUUAAUGGUGUCGUCGUUGUCUCCUUGCCUUUUCUUUUGCUUUCCAGUCUUUUUUUCUGAUUUUUCUAUUUUUUUUCAAUUUCAACCAUUUUUUUUACAAUUUAAAAAAUAAUGAUAUUUUUUAAUCGGUGUCGUUGACAUGUCAAGCAACACCACCGAGCACUAUGUAUACCCCAAACCCAGCAAAAAAUCAGCUAGUUUUGAAUGUUUGUAUUUUGUUGAAGUGUUUUUUAGCAGUUUCAAAGAAGAAAAGAAGUUUUUUUUUGUAGAAAUUUGUUGAAGUCAGUAUCGAAGACGAAUAACUAAUUCUUU